CACGGAUUGCGAGCAUCUUUUGUCGGUUCUUGGUCUUGUAGCUCUAUAUUGUCCUUACAGAACAUUGAAUGAGAAGGGAAAAUGUUCAUACAUGAAACCUGUAUCUGAGAGACAAGAGAAUCCAGUAUGUCUGAUAUAUCAUCUGACUUAUUUUCCACUGCCACUACCAAGCCUUCCAUUAAUAUGAGAAGAUCAUCUGUUUUUGUUGAAGCUGGAACAUUAUAAACGG